AAGAAUGUUAGUUCCUGCUCGUCGCCGAGUCGUUUCCUGUAAUCGCACAGUGUUGUGAGACGGAGAACGCCAUGUGUGUCCACGCUAAGCUUUUUUCUCUGAUAUUUUGAAGAACCGGAAGGUGUUUUUUAUCUCGGAGCGUCGCUAACAUUGCGCCCAUCUCCCCGUGUGGAGGGGGCAAGAUGGCGGACCCAAUUAUGGACCUCUUUGAGGACACGCCCUUGUUCAACCUGGAUGCCCUCCCGGAUGAUUCCUAUUCUCAUGGUUCCUCGGACCCUGUGGAGGAGGCUCUUAAACUGGCGCUGGGUCAGAUAGACGCACCGGAGCCCGAGCUCACGGUCAACGCCGGCCUCGGCGUACCUGUAGCGGCUCCCGCCGUACCCGAACUUGCCCCCGUUUCGGUCCCCGCGCCACAGCCGGUGGUAGCGGCUCACACGGUCUCUUUAGCCACAAUUCCGACUGUCACCCAAGCCCCCGCUGCUGUCAAUACCGUACCUCAAGUUCAAGCCCAGGUCACUGUCCCUAUUGCAUGCAACACCAGCGUGGCCACCACUACCGCGGUCCUGCUGAACUCACCGCUGACCGUCUCCAGCCCUUCCAUCACCACCACCGCCGCCACACAGCAGCUCGCACAGUUGGCUCAGCAGCUCACCCCCCAGCAGUUGGCGGCCAUCACUCAGCAAGCCGGUGGUAAAAUCGUCAUUCUCAAGGGUCCACAAGGACAAGCCCAGGUCCUGCAGACUGUAUCGGGAGCCACCGGGCCGACGGGCGGCAAGGUUAUCCGUCUGCUGUCCGGCUCGCCCCUCAAACCGGGCAUGUCCAUAUUACAAGGAGGGGCGGUCUUGAACCAAGGGCAAACCCAGGUCAAAGUCGGGGCGGCGGGCGUGCAGAGGCUGCUGCAGUCGGCCAACGGGCCCGUGAAGCAGCUGCUGCUCACCUCCAUGCCCCAGCAAAUGCAGCAGACCCAAGGCCAGCAGGUCCAGGUGCAGAUUUCGCCACAAACACAAGUCCAGAGCCAGCCGGCUCAUAUCCAAGUCCAAGCGCCGAAUCAGGUGCAGCUGCAGCCAGCCAUGCAGGCCCAGACACCGGGGAGCGAAGCAAAGCGCAUCACUCUGGUCCUCCAGCAGCCCUCGCAGGCUGCCGCCGCGACGCAAGCGGGCCAAACGGUUUCCGCCCAGCCCCAGGUCACGCAGGUUCAACAAACAGCCCAAGGAGGUCAGCAACAGGCCCAGGCCCCGACUCGAUUGGUCCUGGGUCAGCUCCCCGGGGGAAAACUAGUGCUCCAGGGAAGCCAGCUUGCAGCCUUGACCCAGGCCCGGGCUGCGGGCCAGGCAGGAGGGCAGCCCAAAGUCCUCACCAUCCAGCUGCAGGUGCAGCAGCAGCCUAACCAGCAAGGAGGCGUUAAGUACCAACUGGUGUCAGGAGCUGGCAAUGCCGGCAGCCCGCAGAUACUGCAGAUAUCCCAAGGCCAAGGAGGGCAGAGGCUGGCAGUUCCUUUCAAAAUGCUCCUGCAGCCUCAGACAAGCUCGGCGUCGACAGCCGGCGGGGCUGUCUCUGUGGUGAAGGUUGUCAACUCUUCAACAGCGGGACCCUCCAGCACGACCACCUCCCCGACGCAGACCAUCCGCAUCGCCAAGGCCCCCGGUGAUUCCUCCUCUGUGCGCCGUGUGGAAAUCUUGUGCAAGCAAGAGAAGGCUAACCGUAUUGUUGCUGAAGCUAUAGCAAGGGCCAAGGCACGGGGCGAGAAGAACCUUCCUCGAGUGCUCAACCAGGACGAACUUCCGGCCUCACAAACCUCGCCAGAAAUAGGGGAAACGGUCACGGUGGUGUCCACCGCAAAGAAGAAGACAAGCGGUGGAGGGAGCAAGAAGAAAAGCCCUGUGGCUGCAGGGAUACCAUCCAAACUGGCAGGGGCGGCGGACAAAAAAGGCAAAGCCAAACCUGCCGGAGGGACAGUUGUAGUUGCCGGAGGCACCGUAAUACCUGUGGCAGGAAACAAGAGCAAAAGUAAAACCAAGACAAACACGAUUACUCUUGUGGGAGCCAAAAAGAGAAAAAGGAAUCCUUCCUCCGAGCAUUCAGACGGGGAGCUGAGUCCGGCCUCACCUGCUGCGCUGGAGGAAGACCUGACCAUGAAACGGCGCUCUAACCGCGUGGUGAAAAGAAAGAAGUACACGGAAGACCUGGACAUCAAGAUAACCGACGACGAGGACGAGCAGGAAGAUGUCGACGUCAUGACGACCACGGCGGCCGUGGCCUCCAUCAGCACGCAGCCUUUAGUGGCGGCGCCAGCAGCGGCGGCCGCAGCUCACGUCCAGCAGGGAAUGGCGUUCGACGCUGACGGCAUGCCUGGCAUGCAGUUCUUCGUGGAAAACCCAAGUGAAGAAGACGCGGCCAUUGUGGAUAAAGUCCUUUCCAUGCGAUUAACAAAGAAAGAAGUCUUCCAAGGCCAGUACACCAAUGUCGAGGAAUUCUUUGUGAAGUACAAGAACUAUUCAUACUUGCACUGUGAAUGGGCCAGCUUGGAGCAGCUGGAGAAGGACAAGAGGAUCCAUCAAAAGAUCAAAAGGUUCAAGACCAAACAUGCGCAGAUGAGGCAUAUCUUCCAGGAGGAGGAGGAGCUUUUCAACCCGGACUACGUGGAAGCGGACAGGAUCCUGGACGAGUCGCACAGUGUAGACAAAGACAACGGCGAGCCUGUGGUGUACUACUUGGUGAAGUGGUGCUCCCUGCCUUACGAAGACGCCACAUGGGAGCUGAAGGAGGACGUGGACGAGGGAAAGGUGGAAGAGUUCCGUAAACUCCUAAACCGGCAACCCCGUCUCAAGAGAACGACCCGACCGCCGGCUGGCUCCUGGAAGAAGUUGGAGGAGACCAAAGAGUACAAGAAUGGGAACGUACUUAGAGAGUAUCAACUGGAGGGUGUCAACUGGCUGCUCUUCAACUGGUACAACAGGCAAAACUGCAUCCUGGCAGACGAGAUGGGUCUCGGGAAGACCAUCCAGUCCAUCGCACUCCUGUCUGAGAUUUACGCUGCUGGGCUCCAAGGCCCCUUCCUCGUCAUCGCACCCCUUUCCACCAUCACAAACUGGGAGCGGGAGUUCUCCACAUGGACCGACAUGAACGCCAUUGUGUACCACGGCAGCUUAGCCAGCAGGCAGAUGAUCCAACAGUACGAGAUGUACAGCAAAGACGACAAGGAACAUUUAAUCCCAGGCGCGUACAAGUUCGAUGCCCUCAUCACUACUUUUGAGAUGAUACUGUCCGACUGUCCCGAGUUGAGGGAGAUCUCCUGGCGUUGCGUGAUCAUCGACGAGGCUCAUCGCCUGAAGAAUCGCAACUGCAAGCUGUUGGACAGCUUGAAGAUGUUGGACCUGGAACACAAAGUGUUGUUGACCGGCACUCCCCUGCAGAACACCGUGGAGGAACUCUUCAGUUUGCUUCAUUUCCUGGAGCCUGCCCAAUUCUCAUCCGAGAUCGAAUUCCUCAGAGAUUUUGGAGACCUCAAAACAGAGGAGCAGGUUCAGAAGUUGCAGGCGAUAUUGAAGCCAAUGAUGUUGCGAAGGCUCAAAGAGGACGUUGAGAAGAAUUUGGCACCCAAACAAGAGACCAUCAUUGAGGUUGAGUUGACAGAUGUCCAGAAGAAGUACUACCGAGCCAUUCUGGAGAGGAACUUCAAUUUUCUCAGCUUAGGAGCAAACAGUAACAGCAACGUGCCCAACCUGCUCAACACCAUGAUGGAGCUGCGCAAGUGCUGCAACCACCCUUACCUCAUCAAUGGUGCAGAGGAGAAGAUUGUUGCGGAGUUACGAAUGGUGUACGACCCCAUGGCCCCGGACUUCCACUUGCAGGCCCUGAUUCGGUCCGCUGGCAAGCUCGUCCUGCUGGACAAGCUGCUGCCACGUCUCAAAGCUGGCGGCCACAAAGUGCUCAUCUUCUCCCAAAUGGUGCGCUGCUUAGACAUUCUGGAGGACUACCUCAUCAACAAGAGAUACACUUAUGAGCGGAUUGACGGCAGAGUGCGUGGCAACCUGCGACAGGCUGCCAUCGAUCGCUUUAGCAAGCCCGACUCGGACCGCUUUGUCUUUCUGCUGUGUACUCGAGCUGGAGGCUUGGGUAUCAACCUCACUGCUGCUGACACCUGUGUCAUAUUUGACUCGGACUGGAAUCCUCAGAACGACCUCCAGGCACAAGCCCGAUGUCAUCGUAUUGGCCAGUCUAAGGCGGUCAAGGUCUACCGUCUGAUUACCAGGAACUCGUACGAGAGAGAGAUGCUCGACAAAGCCAGUCUGAAGCUGGGCCUCGACCGUGCCGUUUUGCAGAGCAUGAGUGGCAACAAAGACAGCAGUGUUAACGGAAUCCAGCAGUUUUCCAAGAAGGAGAUUGAGGACUUGCUGAGGAAGGGAGCUUACGCCGCCAUCAUGGACGAGAACGAUGAGGGCAGUCGCUUCUGUGAGGAAGACAUCGACCAGAUCCUCCAGCGAAGAGCCACCACCAUCACCAUCGAGAGCGAGGGCAAGGGCUCCACCUUCUCAAAGGCCAGCUUUGUGGCCUCCGAGAACCGUAACGACAUUGCCCUCGAUGACCCGGAAUUCUGGGAGAAGUGGGCCAAGAAAGCCGACAUAGACAUGGACAUCCUCAACCGAAAAAACACGCUAGUGAUCGACACUCCCAGAGUACGCAAGCAGACGCGUCAGUAUUCCAGUUUGCGAGGAGAGGGUGGCGAGCUAUCCGAUAUGGACAGUGAUGAAGAGUACCCACCUGCCAAUUCCAGACACUCUCGUUCUUCCCGACGCUCGGAUCGUCACAGCGGAGUGGGUUACGGACGCACAGACUGUUUCCGCGUGGAAAAACAUCUGCUCGUCUAUGGUUGGGGGCGCUGGAGGGACAUUCUGUCCCACGCCAGAUGUAAGCGCCGCCUGAGUGAGCGCGACGUGGAGACCAUCUGCCGCGUCAUCCUGGUGUUUUGUCUCCUGCACUACCGUGGCGACGAGAACAUCAAGAGUUUCAUCUGGGAACUCAUCACACCCCCGGAGAACGGGCGUGAGCCCCAAACACUACUCAACCACUCUGGCCUCUCCAUCCCUGUGCCCCGAGGCAGGAAGGGCAAGAGGGUAAAAGCCCAGAGCACAUUUGACGUGCAGAAAGUGGAAUGGAUCCGCAAGUAUAACCCUGAUACCUUGCUGCUGGACGACAGUUACCGCAAGCACCUCAAGCACCAGUGCAACAAGGUGUUGCUGAGGGUGCGUAUGCUCUACUACCUCAAGCAGGAGGUGAUCGGUGACCAUGCUGACUCGGUCCUGAAAGGGGCAGACAUCAGAGAUGUGGACAUCUGGAUACCGGAGAUGGAGCAGCAAGAGGUCCCUGCAGGAUGGUGGGAUGCUGAGGCUGACCGCUCUCUGCUGGCGGGUGUUUUCAAACACGGUUACGAGAUGUACACCACCAUGCGCGCCGACGGACGCCUGUGUUUCCUGGAGAAGGUUGGCCGGCCCGACGACAAGGCCAUCGAUGCGGAGCAACAUGUAGGGGAUGGCGAGCUGGGAGACGAAGGGGAUUAUGACAAAUACUCUGAGGACCCCGAGUUCAAGCCUGCGUCAAGACCACCAAAAGAUUCAUACGAGGAGCAUGACAGUGUGAAGAUAGAGGAGGAAAUCACCGUGGAAGACAAGUCCGUCCCAGCCAUCGUGGAAAGCUUCUCUAACCAGACCCAGAGUGGCUGCGAUUGGCCCUCCAGUUCGUCGCUUACAGCGCGCCUGCGGCGCUUGAUCACAGCUUACCAGCGCAGCUACAGGCAGGAGCAGCUGAAGAUCGAAGCUGAGGCCAAGGGCGACCGCAGGCGCAGGAGGUGUGAGCAAGCCAGCAAGCUGAAGGAGAUCGCACGGCAAGAGCGACAACAAAGGUGGACACGCAGGGAAGAAUGUGAUUUCUACCGCGUCGUGUCAACUUUUGGCGUGGAAAAGAUCAAAAAGGAACCAGGUCUUCCCGAGGGCGAAGAAGCGGAUUAUGACUGGACGAGAUUUCGCACCUUCGCCCGUUUGGAUAAAAAAACUGACGAGAGCCUUAGCCGGUACUUCCGCUCUUUCUUAAACAUGUGCCGGAGAGUGUGCCACUUGCGCCCUGGCCGUGAUGAGGACACACCAUCGCUUCCUCAGACAGUGGCCCCCAUCACGGAGGAACGUGCUUCCCGGACACUUUACCGCAUUAGCCUCCUCCGUCGCCUCCGCGACCGAGUCCUGCCCCACCCCUCCCUGGAGGAGCGCCUGCUGCUGGCGCCGCCCGGCACCGAGUUGCCCGCCUGGUGGAGCAUACCCUACCACGACCGUCAGCUGAUGCUGGGCGCGGCCAUUCACGGCAUCAGCCGCACGGAGCUCUCCAUCUUCUCAGACCCUCAGUUCACGUUCGUCGCCGCCCGAGACGAGUUCAUCCAGAACCAGCAAGCCCAGCCGCAGCCUCAGCCGCAGCCCAUCAUGCACCUGGGCCAACCCAAGUCCGACGGGGAGGUGUCCGCUGGGAAGGAGGACGGGAAGGAGGAGGAGAUUCGGUUGCUCGGGGGUGCAAUUGGUGCUAAUCUACAGAGUACGCCUUUGAGCCACCAUGACGCCAAGGCCAGAGGGCAGACGUGGAACUUCAAGAAGAACAAGGUCAAGGAAGGAAGCAAAGGAGAAGAGGGAGCCUCGGAUACGGAUUCCGAUUCCGAUUCGGGGUCGUCAUCUUCUGACCGAUCAGGCAGCAGCGAUGACAGCGGAGACAGUGAUGAAGAGGUGGAUGGAGCAGGUGUGAAGACAUGCGAUGAAGAAAAUAGUUUACUCUCCAUGGCUCUGUCUCAAGAUGGCAUUCCACCCACGGAACCCAUAAGAGUAGAAUGGCCCAAGGACCGUGUGCUGAUCAACCGCUUGGACAGUUUGUGUACACUGGUGCUGACUGGUCAGUGGCCAUCGGGGCGGCGCUACGUCACCGAGGCUCAUCUCAACCCAAACUCUGAGCUGGCGGGAGACCCGAUGGCGUAUGCCCGCACGGCCCGCAAGCCCAUCGGCAUGCCUGGAGGAGAAGGAGAGGACGGAGAAUUCACCGUCAAGCUCCUCAAGGAGGAGGGUCUCAAGCUCACCUUCUCCAAGCAGGCGCUGAUGCCCAACGGGUCUGGGGGCGAGAGCAGCCGCAAGCGACGCAAGGACCAAGAGUCAUCAGACCCAGAAGGACUCCUCGAUCCACUGGAGCGUAUUCCUCGGCGCCGGGACCCCCCCACCUGGCUCAAAGAGAACCCAGAUUACGAGGUGGAAGGGGACAUGCUGGAGGUGCAACCAUUUCUUCUUGUAAACCGGAGCAAGAGGAAGAGGAGGAGAAGGGCAGAUAAAGUCCUGACUGGCAAUGAGAAGAUCAAACUUAUUAACAUGAGGACAGGGAAGAAGAUUGGAGCUGCAUUCUGUCCCAUGCUGCAAGACCUCAGAGAAUAUCUGGAGGAAAACCCCGAUUUCGCCGUCAUGCCCAAUUGGUCGGAAACAGUUCGAAACUCUGGCUUUUUGCCAGAGACCCUCUCCCAUCGCCUCCUGACCGAAUACACGGAGAUCCCCAAGAGGAGCCGCCACCGCCACCACCACCGCCACCAUCACCAUCACCACCACCACCAGCAGCAGCAGCACACUCCACAGCCCACGCCCGAGAACCCCUACCUGGAAGGCGUGGAGGAGGAGACCCUGGUCUCGGACGGCGCCUACAUGAUGGACGAGGAGGACCUGGACACCUCCCAACACUUCCUCACCAGCCCGGACUUCGACGUCAAAAUGGAGGCCGGCGACAGCCUCUCCCAAGGAGACUAUGACAGCUCGGACCAGGAGGCGCUGUUGGACGACGUCAUCCUCGCCCAGAAGGACUCUGACUCCUCGUCCAGCUCGGAGGACUGACUCUGAACCCCCACCUGGGUCCCCCGCCAUCAUUAUUCCUCAUUUAUUUCUACCUUGUACACGAUGAAUUUAUGUUGUUACUUUUAUGGAUUUAUUUUAAAAUAGGGUUUUUGUUUUUUCUCCAUGAAAGAGCUGGUUUGCACCCACCUUUUCUUUUUUUUCCCCCCCACCCAUCAGCAAGAACUUCAACCUCUCUGCCCAGUCCUCCACUGUCCGACGGCCGCCAUCUUCCUCCCGAGCGAAGGAGUUCCCCAUCGCAUUCCCAGCUGUGACCAAAAGGGGACCCCCUGGCUGUAGAUACCUUUUUCCUAAUCGGGGACCUCCUCAACUUCACCCCAGCCCGGCGCCACCGUCUUAAACUACCGGUACGGACGCAGCGGUCAAUGUUUUUAACUUGUGCGGGGAAGGGGAAGGCGUGCGGCGCAUUAGCUACCGAGGAUGGUUGUAUUCUACAUGUAGAUCAGCGAUCUUCAGUGAAAUACGCUCCGUCUGUGUCUUAUUUCCACGUCCGCCCAGCAGCUGGACACCAGUGGUUCUUAACCAAAAGCCCGGAAACAGCCCCAAAAAACAUCUGGUAAUACACUUUUCCACCACAUGUAGCAGUAUUGUCAAUGUUAAAACAAGCGGAAGAAUUCUGGCGCUCAAGUGCAAAAAAUAGGACUAAAGUGGUGAAGCUCUAUUUUCAUUUGCACUUACGUUUUAUUGACAGUUUAUUUAGGAAACUGUCAGGUUCAAACACUGAUGACAUCUAUUAAACAAGACAAGAAGCAAGGAAUUAAGCAGAGACAGAAUUACAUUUGGC